GAUGAACGCUGGCGGCGUGCUUAACACAUGCAAGUCGAACGGAAAGGCCCAAGCUUGCGUGGGUACUCGAGUGGCGAACGGGUGAGUAACACGUGGGUGAUCUGCCCUGCACUUCGGGAUAAGCCUGGGAAACUGGGUCUAAUACCGGAUAGGACCACUUCUUGGAUGUUGUGGUGGAAAGUUUUUUCGGUGUGGGAUGAGCUCGCGGCCUAUCAGCUUGUUGGUGGGGUAAUGGCCUACCAAGGCGUCGACGGGUAGCCGGCCUGAGAGGGUGUACGGCCACAUUGGGACUGAGAUACGGCCCAGACUCCUACGGGAGGCAGCAGUGGGGAAUAUUGCACAAUGGGCGCAAGCCUGAUGCAGCGACGCCGCGUGGGGGAUGACGGCCUUCGGGUUGUAAACUCCUUUCGCUAGGGACGAAGCGUUUUGUGACGGUACCUGGAGAAGAAGCACCGGCUAACUACGUG
rnacentral:rRNA from 1 species